CUACGGGAUGCAGCAGUGAGGAAUAUUGCACAAUGGGGGGAACCCUGAUGCAGUAACGCCGCGUGGAGGAUGACGCAUUUCGGUGUGUAAACUCCUUUUAUAUGUCAAGAAAAUGACGGUAGCAUAUGAAUAAGCACCGGCUAACUCCGUGCCAGCAGCCGCGGUAAUACGGAGGGUGCAAGCGUUACUCGGAAUCACUGGGCGUAAAGGACGCGUAGGCGGGUUGGAAAGUCAGGUGUGAAAUCCUACAGCUUAACUGUAGAACUGCACUUGAAACUUCUAAUCUAGAGUAUGGGAGGGGGAGAUGGAAUUAGUGGUGUAGGGGUAAAUCCGUAGAUAUCACUAGGAAUACCUAAAGCGAAGGCGAUCUCCUGGAACAUUACUGACGCUAAGGCGUGAAAGCGUGGGGAGCAAACAGGAUUAGAUACCCGCGUAGUC
rnacentral:rRNA from 1 species